rnacentral:rRNA from 1 species
UGAAAUCAGACGAGACUACCCGCUGA